CCUACGGGUGGCUGCAGUGGGGAAUAUUGCACAAUGGGCGCAAGCCUGAUGCAGCCAUGCCGCGUGUGUGAAGAAGGCCUUCGGGUUGUAAAGCACUUUCAGCGGGGAGGAAGGCGGUGAGGUUAAUAACCUCAUCGAUUGACGUUACCCGCAGAAGAAGCACCGGCUAACUCCGUGCCAGCAGCCGCGGUAAUACGGAGGGUGCAAGCGUUAAUCGGAAUUACUGGGCGUAAAGCGCACGCAGGCGGUCUGUCAAGUCGGAUGUGAAAUCCCCGGGCUCAACCUGGGAACUGCAUUCGAAACUGGCAGGCUAGAGUCUUGUAGAGGGGGGUAGAAUUCCAGGUGUAGCGGUGAAAUGCGUAGAGAUCUGGAGGAAUACCGGUGGCGAAGGCGGCCCCCUGGACAAAGACUGAUGCUCAGGUGCGAAAGCGUGGGGAGCAAACAGGAUUAGAUACCCCGGUAGUC
rnacentral:rRNA from 1 species